GGGGAGUACGGCCGCAAGGCUGAAACUCA
rnacentral:rRNA from 1 species